rnacentral:rRNA from 1 species
UACGUAGGGUGCAAGCGUUAUCCGGAAUUAUUGGGCGUAAAGAGCUCGUAGGCGGUGUGUCGCGUCGGCCGUGAAAACCUGGGGCUCAACUCUGGGCGUGCGGUCGAUACGGGCAUCACUUGAGUUCGGCAGGGGAGACUGGAAUUCCUGGUGUAGCGGUGAAAUGCGCAGAUAUCAGGAGGAACACCGGUGGCGAAGGCGGGUCUCUGGGCCGAUACUGACGCUGAGGAGCGAAAGCAUGGGUAGCGAACAGG